GGGCCUGUAGAUCAGUAGCAGAUCGCUUGACGUAUUUAAAACUAUUCGUUUAAUACAAGAUUUGCACUCAAGAGGUCACGGGUUCAAUUCCCGUCAGGUCCA
rnacentral:tRNA from 1 species